UCUUUCUCUUUUCCUUUCUGCCACAGCACCCCCGGAGGCAGAAACUGCAGGUCUUGAUGAAGAGAAAUACGAGAAGCAGAACAAUGGCGAGGAGGAAGGCCAGGACAUCCAAGCUGUGAUACUGGUACCAGCCCUCAAGACGAUCUGUUGUCGAUGUAGAGCCCCAAACUCUGUGACACAAACUGGCAAACAUCUGUAAGGAGGAGUGUAAAAACAACAAUGGAAAAGGUGUUUCAUGGAAAGCUGCAUGUCCAUGAUUCCCUCAGCCUGGAUGGGUCCAUGUUUAUCGUCUCCAGACCUCUGUCAGAAACGAGCUGUCCUGGGGUCUACUCCUUGAAUUGUGAAAUACACCUCCGCAGGCAGAAACUGCAGGUCUUGAUGACAAGAAAUACGAAGAGCAGAACAAUGGCGAGGAGGAAGGCCAGGACAUCCAAGCUGUGAUACUGGUACCAGCCCUCAAGACGAUCUGUUGUCGAUGUAGAGCCCCAAACUCUGUGACACAAACUGGCAAACAUCUGUAAGGAGGAGUGUAAAAACAACAAUGGAAAAGGUGUUUCAUGGAAAGCUGCAUGUCCAUGAUUCCCUCAGCCUGGAUGGGUCCAUGUUUAUCGUCUCCAGACCUCUGUCAGAAACGAGCUGUCCUGGGGUCUACUCCUUGAAUUGUGAAAUACACCUCCGGAGGCAGAAACUGCAGGUCUUGAUGACAAGAAAUAUGAGGAGCAGAACAAUGGCGAGGAGGAAGGCCAGGACAUCCAAGCAGUGAUACUGGUACCAGGCCUCGGAGCUGUCACAGCUGGAUCCAGGUGACGGGACUUCUGUGUCGCUGGUCAUAGCCCAGGGGUGCGGAGGGGAGUGCAGCUGCUCCAUAUUCCCUCUGAGAAAGGUGAGCAGUGCGG